rnacentral:hammerhead_ribozyme from 1 species
AUUCAGUUGAUGAGUUCCGAAUAGAACGAAACGCAUGUUCUGGAU